UUACCAGGGUUUGGGGCAGAAGGAACAGAUAAAAGGGACAAUUCUAAGGAAGAUGAUUGAAAGACUGACCCCAAUGUGGAGAGGAUGAUUCCAGCACUACUCGUACUGCACUAGGAUCAGACAACUUGAAAUCUGCCUUUGCUUUUAUUGGGCAAUCUGUUCCAGGGAUCACAGCCCCUACCUGUAACUGUCACCUCUUUUGAGGUACAAUUACAUUCUUUCCUCUCAUCCCAUUGCAAUGUUUCCAUGCUGAGAGGGCUCCAGAGAGAUGUAGGGAAGCUCUGCUAGUCUCUGUGCUGAAGCUCAGUGCCUGGCAUACCUCUGCCUUUGAUGAGGCUCUGGCACAGCCCUGCAUCAUUCUUCAUUUGCCUGCGCAUUAAAGAAUGCCCCUGGUGGUCAUCAGGAGCACUGUAUGAUUAACUCAGCAUUCCUCAUUGUGAAUCAGACAGUCAUUCACCUUAA
rnacentral:lncRNA from 1 species